rnacentral:rRNA from 1 species
UACGUAGGGUGCAAGCGUUGUCCGGAAUUAUUGGGCGUAAAGAGCUCGUAGGCGGUUUGUCGCGUCUGCUGUGAAAACUCGGGGCUUAACUCCGGGCCUGCAGUGGGUACGGGCAGACUAGAGUGCGGUAGGGGAGUCUGGAAUUCCUGGUGUAGCGGUGAAAUGCGCAGAUAUCAGGAGGAACACCGGUGGCGAAGGCGGGACUCUGGGCCGAUACUGACGCUGAGGAGCGAAAGCGUGGGGAGCAAACAGG